rnacentral:rRNA from 1 species
UCUAGAUUAGAGUUUGAUCAUGGCUCAGGACGAACGCUGGCGGCGUGCUUACACAUGCAAGUCGAACGAUGAACACUUCGGUGGGGAUUAGUGGCGAACGGGUGAGUAACACGUGGGCAAUCUGCCCUUCACUCUGGGACAGCCCUGGAAACGGGGUCUAAUACCGGAUACCACUACCGCAGGCAUCUGUGGUGGUUGAAAGCUCCGGCGGUGAAGGAUGAGCCCGCGGCCUAUCAGCUUGUUGGUGAGGUAACGGCUCACCAAGGCGACGACGGGUAGCCGGCCUGAGAGGGCGACCGGCCACACUGGGACUGAGACACGGCCCAGACUCCUACGGGAGGCAGCAGUGGGGAAUAUUGCACAAUGGGCGAAAGCCCGAUGCAGCGACGCCGCGUGAGGGAUGACGGCCUUCGGGUUGUAAACCUCUUUCAGC